CCCCAGCACUGCCGCUGUCUUCAGCUCGCCCGGCCAUGCAAUGUGCACAGCCUCCACAUCACCACAGCAGCCAACACACGGAACUGCAGAUGCUGGUUUGCAAGGAAAAGACACCAAGUGCUGGAGUAACUCAGCAGUGGACAGGUUUCGCUGAUUGCGUAAUUUCUGGUGAGUGCAGAGGUCACGCUGAUUGCGUAAUUUCCGGUGAGUGCAGAGGUCGCGCUCAUUACAGAAGUGCCGCUGACUGCGAAAGCCCCAAAGUGGAGAGGCCGCAUUUAUCCUCCCUACUCCCAUCAGUCUGAAGAAGGGUCCCAAUCUGAAACAUCGUGUCCAUUCCCUCUCCACUGAGUUCCCCCAGCACUGUGUUUUGUGUUUUGCUCCAGACUCCAGCGUCUGCAGUUCCUUAUGUUUGCAUUUAAACAUAAUUUUAUUUUUAAUUCCUGUUGCAUGCACUGCCCAAGUUCUCACGGAGUAUUGAUCAGAAGAGGCACAGUGUAGUGUAAAGAAUAAAAUUCUAAAG